UACGUAGGGACCAAGCGUUGUUCGGAUUUACUGGGCGUAAAGGGCGCGUAGGCGGCAAUUCAAGUCAUCUGUGAAAUCUCCGGGCUUAACCCGGAACGGUCAGGUGAUACUGUUUUGCUAGAGUACAGAAGGGGCAAUCGGAAUUCUUGGUGUAGCGGUGAAAUGCGUAGAUAUCAAGAGGAACACCUGAGGUGAAGACGGGUUGCUGGGCUGAUACUGACGCUGAGGCGCGAAAGCUAGGGUAGCAAACGGG
rnacentral:rRNA from 1 species